GAGGAAUCAGAUGUUCAGCAGCUGAAGGAUCUUGUAAAAACUUUAGAGUUCUGAUCUCUGUAAAGUAGAGAACGUCUCUGUGUCCUGCUGAUCCUCACAGGUUGAAGCUGCAGCAGUUUGAGUCUAAGAGACUCUGGAUCAAGAUGAUGACCUUUGACCUCAGAACAUUUUCUAUUUCAAAUAUUUUCCAGACGUCGAUUGUUGAAGAUUUUCAGUUUUAUUUUUCAUCUGAUCUGUUGAUGAUCUGCAGGAACAAAAGAGAGAAAAAUACUCUGAGUUUGUUAGAAAAGUUGAAUUGAGCAAAAACAUGAAGCAUAAAUUUCAUUAAAAAGCUUUAAAGAGUUUGUUAA